rnacentral:rRNA from 1 species
CACGUAGGGUGCGAGCGUUGUCCGGAAUCACUGGGCGUAAAGGGUGCGUAGGCGGGUCUUUAAGUCAGGGGUGAAAUCCUGGAACUCAACUCCAGAACUGCCUUUGAUACUGAGGAUCUUGAGUUCGGGAGAGGUGAGUGGAACUGCGAGUGUAGAGGUGAAAUUCGUAGAUAUUCGCAAGAACACCAGUGGCGAAGGCGGCUCACUGGCCCGGUACUGACGCUGAGGUGCGAAAGCGUGGGGAGCAAACAGG